rnacentral:lncRNA from 1 species
UUGGAUCGCCAAGGUGUAUUUGAAAAUUUUUCUAUUCAAUUAAUUUAUAAUUUAUAUAAAUUAUCUAAAUUAUAGUAAAAUAGGGAUCAAAUAUUAUAGAUUUUUUGCUAGAAUCUGAAGCCUCGCAAGGUCUGAAUGUACAGACCCUUUACUUCAUGCGCACGUCAGACUCCAUAGGGAAGAGGGAUGAUUAUCUUGGGAUUAA